UACGUAGGGGGGCAAGCGUUGUCCGGAAUCAUUGGGCGUAAAGCGCGUGUAGGCGGCCCGGUAAGUCCGCUGUGAAAGUCCAGGGCUCAACCCUGGAAUGCCGGUGGAUACUGUCGGGCUCGAGUCCGGAAGAGGAGUGUGGAAUUCCUGGUGUAGCGGUGAAAUGCGCAGAUAUCAGGAGGAACACCAGUGGCGAAGGCGGUCUCCUGGGGCAUUCUUGACGCUGAGGCGCGAAAGCUGGGGGAGCGAACGGG
rnacentral:rRNA from 1 species